rnacentral:rRNA from 1 species
UACGUAGGGGGCAAGCGUUGUCCGGAAUCAUUGGGCGUAAAGAGCGUGUAGGCGGCUCGGUAAGUCCGCUCUGAAAGCCCGGGGCUCAACCCCGGGAGGCGGGCGGAUACUGUCGGGCUAGAGUCCGGAAGAGGCGAGUGGAAUUCCGUGGUGUAGGCGGUGAAAUGCGCAGAUAUCAGGAGGAACACCAAUGGCGAAGGCAGCUCGCUGGGACGGUACUGACGCUGAGACGCGAA